AUCAUGCCGGUGAGUUGCUGAGGAGCCUUAGUUACUCAAUGUGCGCCGGUAGUAGCUCCUUCCUGCCCCCGUGAUGUUGUGUGCUGAAUGCGGAUUGCUUGCGUAUGCCUGAUUCAUUGUCUGUCUUAUAUAUCGGCUCUUGCCUACUCGGGUAUCCCGUUGGUGCUGACUAGCACAACGCAAGUGUGUACACAGUGUAUGUGUGUGGCAGCAGGGUGAGAGCAACUGGCCCUAUCCAGCCCCAGCAUAGCAUCCCUCCAGUGGCUGUUGCUGGAGUCAACUUUAUGUUUCUUUUUAGAUUGUGAGCCCUUUGGGGAAAGGGGACCAUCUUAUUUUAUGUAUUAUUUAUUUUUCUAUGUAACCCACUUUGAGAACUUUGGUUGAAGAGAGGUAUAUAAAUAUUCAUAGUAGUAGUAAUGUGGUGGUUUUGGUUCUCUUUUGAAUCUGUAUUACAAUUAUUAUGCUUCCGUUGCUGUAAUUACAAGUGAAUUAGUAAUGUAAGAUGUUAUUGUUUUUCCUUUUCCUCCUAUGUGUGAAUGUCUCUAAGUAAUAAAACAAAGGAACUUUAUACAUU